GGGGAAUUGUUCGCAAUGGGCGCAAGCCUGACGACGCAACGCCGCGUGGAGGAUGAAGGUCUUCGGAUUGUAAACUCCUGUUGCCCGGGAAGAAUGAGUUACGACCUAACACGUCGUGGCAAUGACGGUACCGGUUGAGGAAGCCACGGCUAACUCUGUGCCAGCAGCCGCGGUAAUACAGAGGUGGCAAGCGUUGUUCGGAAUUACUGGGCGUAAAGGGCGCGUAGGCGGCCUUCUAAGUCAGACGUGAAAUCCCCAGGCUUAACUUGGGAACUGCGUCUGAUACUGGGAGGCUUGAGUGCGGGAGAGGGAUGUGGAAUUCCAGGUGUAGCGGUGAAAUGCGUAGAUAUCUGGAGGAACACCGGUGGCGAAGGCGGCAUCCUGGACCGACACUGACGCUGAGGCGCGAAAGCCAGGGGAGCAAAC
rnacentral:rRNA from 1 species